GAAAGUAAAGAAGGGCGCAUGGCGGAUGCCUUGGCUCUCGGAGGCGAUGAAGGACGUGAUAAGCUGCGAUAAGCUUCGGGUAGGUGCAAAUAACCUUUGAUCCGAAGAUUUCCGAAUGGGACAACCCGUCAUUCUGAAGGAAUGACAUCUUGCAUAGCAAGAGGCUAACGCAGGGAACUGAAACAUCUUAGUACCUGCAGGAAAAGAAAAUAACAAUGAUUCCCCCAGUAGUGGCGAGCGAACGGGGAAGAGCCUAAACCACCGGUGUUACGGCACAGGUGGGGUUGUAGGACCGCGUCGUUGCAAGAAAUCUUGCGAGAAGAACGAUCUGGAAAGUUCGGCCGAAGACGGUGACAGCCCGGUAUUCGAAGCAAGACGAAGCAUAGCGGUAUCCUGAGUAGCGCGGAACACGAGGAAUUCUGCGUGAAUCUGCCGGGACCAUCCGGCAAGGCUAAAUACUCCCGAGAGACCGAUAGUGGACCAGUACCGUGAGGGAAAGGUGAAAAGCACUUCGAACAGAAGAGUGAAAUAGUACCUGAAACCGUGCGCCUACAAGCGGUCGGAGCUCCGCAAGGAGUGACGGCGUGCCUUUUGCAUAAUGAACCUACGAGUUGCCGUCGUUGGCAAGGUUAAGGGACAUGAGUCCCGCAGCCGAAGCGAAAGCGAGUCUGAAGAGGGCGUCAAGUCAGCGGCGGCAGACGCGAAACCAAGUGAUCUACCCUUGGCCAGGAUGAAGUCUGGGUAACACCAGAUGGAGGUCCGCACCAAUAAGCGUUGAAAAGCUUCUGGAUGAGCUGAGGGUAGGGGUGAAAGGCUAAUCAAACUUGGAGAUAGCUCGUACUCCCCGAAAUGCAUUUAGGUGCAGCCUCGUGGAUUACUGAUGUGAGGUAGAGCGACUGAUUGGAUGCGAGGGCUUCACCGCCUAUCAAGUCCUGACAAACUCCGAAUGCGCAUCAGUUUUACCCCGGGAGUGAGGGCAUGGGUGCUAAGGUCCGUGCCCGAGAGGAGAAGAAUCCGGACCACCUGCUAAGGUCCCGAAAUGACAGCUAAGUUAAACUAACGAAGUCUGACUGCUAAGACAGCUAGGAUGUUGGCUUGGAAGCAGCCAUUCAUUUAAAGAGUGCGUAACAGCUCACUAGUCGAGGAAUCGGGCAUGGAUAAUAAUCGGGUAUAAGUUGUCUACCGAAGCCGUGGAACCAGCAAUGGUUGGUAGGGGAGCAUUCCAUUCGGCGUCGAAGGCGUACCGCGAGGUACUCUGGAGCGUAUGGAAAAGCAAAUGUAGGUAUAAGUAACGAUAAAGGGGGUGAGAACCCCCCUCGCCGAAAGACUAAGGUUUCCUGAUCAACGCUAAUCGGAUCAGGGUCAGUCGGGUCCUAAGGCUCAGCCGAACGGCGAGGCCGAUGGCAGAAACGGUUAAUAUUCCGUUACUACCUUGGAGGGUGACGUGGAGAAGCAGAAGUGACACUGCCGCGGGCUGACGGAAUAGCCCGUUAAAGAGUGUAGGUGCUGAUUCCCGCAGGCAAAUCCGCGGGAAGAGCCGAACUUGACAGUAUGGAGCGUCCUCCGGGACAAUCCAACAGCGCAGGUAAGCAGACUGCCGAGAAAAUCCGCUAAACAUAACUUCCAUGGUACCCGUACCGCAAACGGACACACGUAGUCGGGUUGAAUAUACUAAGGCGCUUGAGUGAUUCACGGUUAAGGAACUAGGCAAACUGACCCUGUAACUUCGGGAUAAAGGGUCCCUACCCGGUGACGGGAGGGCGCAGAGAAUAGGUCCAGGCAACUGUUUAACAAAAACACAGGGCUGUGCGAAUAUGAAAGUAGAAGUAUACAGCCUGACACCUGCCCGGUGCUGGAAGGUUAAGAGGAGAUGUCAUCGCAAGAGAAGCAUUGAAUUGAAGCCCCAGUAAACGGCGGCCGUAACUAUAACGGUCCUAAGGUAGCGAAAUUCCUUGUCGGGU
rnacentral:rRNA from 1 species